UGAAAAUAGGAUAAUUUAGUCUUUUAGUCUUCAAAAUUAAUGGUGGAAAUAAAAGAAUUUACAGUUCUU
rnacentral:tRNA from 1 species